rnacentral:rRNA from 1 species
UGGGGAAUAUUGCACAAUGGGCGCAAGCCUGAUGCAGCGACGCUGCGUGGGGGAUGAAGGUUUUCGGAUUGUAAACCCCUGUUAAACGGGAAGAAAGACCAGUAGUGAAUAACUGCUGGGGAUGACGGUACCGUUAGAGAAAGCACCGGCAAACUUCGUGCCAGCAGCCGCGGUAAUACGAAGGGUGCGAGCGUUAUUCGGAAUAACUGGGCGUAAAGAGCGUGACGGCGGUUUUUUAAGUCGUUUGUGAAAUCGUUUGGCUUAACUGAGCGUAUGCAGAUGAUACUGAAAGACUAGAGUGCAGGAGAGAAAGGUAGAAUUCUCGGAGUAGCGGUAAAAUGCGUAGAUCUCGAGAGGAAUACCGGUUGCGAAGGCGGCCUUUUGGCCUGUAACUGACGCUUAAGCGCGAAAGCGUGGGGAGCAAACAGG